UACAGAGGCCCCAAGCGUUACUGAGAAUCACUGGGUUUAAAGGGUGCGUAGGUGGCGCGUUAAGUCCGUUGUGAAAUCCCUGGGCUCAACCCAGGAAUUGCUUCGGAUACUGGCGUGCUUGAGGCCGGUAGGGGUCACUGGAACUGACGGUGGAGCGGUGAAAUGCGUAGAUAUCGUCAGGAACGCCGAUGGUGAAGACAGGUGACUGGGCCGGAACUGACGCUGAGGCGCGAAAGCGUGGGGAGCAAACAGG
rnacentral:rRNA from 1 species